GGGACACAGUUGGUGGGAUGGUGGGGCUGGGUUGGGGUCGGACCAGGUGACUUUGGAGGUCUUUUCCAACCCCAAUGAUUCUA
rnacentral:miRNA from 12 species